GUAAAACACAUCAAGUGCAUAUUGUUGAAAAGAUUGAUACAAUACAAUUUGUUUUGACUUUGGGAUAGUCAACGUUUUAAAAUGUGCAUAGCCUGGUUAGCUACUAUUGUACAAUUUCCUUACAGUGUGCAGCAACAGUUUCGACUGAACAACAAAAUACAUUAAUGACUUCCAUUUUGGCAUUAAAUAAAUAACUGACAUACAAUCACAGCGAUGCUAUAUAGUUGAAACAGUAAACUACAACUUCUAAAAAAUUAGCCAAACUAUUUUCCCAACUUUGAAUUAAAUCUGUUGAUUUUCCACUUCAACAGAUUAUUUAUUUGUAUGUACUAAAAUAAACUGGAUUCUGAUGAUCUGCUUAAUUCUUGAAGCCUCAUUGCAUCCAGCUUUCACCAAUUAAGGCCAACCCAUUACAAACUGCCUUUAUCAAUUAUAUAAAACCAUUAUAAAAUGUGGUAUAUAUAUAUGAUGUACAAAAGUUGGCUUCAGUAACAUUUUAAUAUUCUUUAAAC